rnacentral:lncRNA from 9 species
CCCGCCGCACCCCCACGGAAGGGGGAGACCUCGGGUCUCUGCCAGAUCCCCCCCGCAAGCCCUGAGCCCCAGGCGCUCGCGGCAGUGCGCAGGCGCCGCCGCGAAGGCUGGCCCGAGAACUUUCCUCCCUGUGCGGGCACCUCUCCACGCGGGCAGGUGGCAGCCGCGCCGCUCCGGUCGCCGACGCUCCUCAGGGCCCCGCGGAGCCCCCUUGGCAGGACCACGCGGGCUGUGGUAUCCCCGGUGACCAAGGCCAUCUUCGUGGCUCUGUUCCUCUUGGCUGUGCUGCUCAUCCUCUACGUGAUCCUGUGGUACAUUUGCCGGGACGUGGACAACGACUACAUCUGAAGCAGUUUGCCGGGGUUGAUUUGGGAGCCGAAGCCUGCAGCCGACACUUCACUGCCACCUUGGCAACUCUAGGUAAGGCACUAAGUCUGUAAAUAAUUUUGGGUUUGUUUUUUCCUUUUUUGGCUGCCCUGCACGUUUGGAGUUCCCAGGUCAGGGAU